rnacentral:rRNA from 1 species
AAUGUGAAUUGCAGAAUUCAGUGAAUCAUCGAAUCUUUGAACGCAUAUUGCGCCCUCUGGCAUUCCGGAGGGCAUGCCUGUUCGAGCGUCAUUUCACCACUCCAGCCCCGCUGGGUCUUGGGCGCUGCGGCCUGCCCGCGCGCCUCAAAGUCUCCGGCCGAG